UACGUAGGGUGCGAGCGUUGUCCGGAUUUAUUGGGCGUAAAGAGCGUGUAGGCGGCUAGGUAGGUCCGUUGUGAAAACUCGAGGCUCAACCUCGAGACGCCGAUGGAAACCAUCUGGCUAGAGUCCGGAAGAGGAGAGUGGAAUUCCUGGUGUAGCGGUGAAAUGCGCAGAUAUCAGGAAGAACACCCGUGGCUAAGGCGGCUCUCUAGUACGGUACUGACGCUGAGACGCGAAAGCGUGGGGAGCGAACAGG
rnacentral:rRNA from 1 species